rnacentral:rRNA from 1 species
UACCUACGGGGGGCAGCAGUGGGGGAUAUUGCACAAUGGGGGGAACCCUGAUGCAGCGACGCCGCGUGGUGAAGGAGCGUUUCGGCGCGUAAAGCCCUAUCGGCAGGGAAGAAGAUGACGGUACCUGACCAAGAAGCCCCGGCUAACUACGUGCCAGCAGCCGCGGUAAUACGUAGGGGGCAGGCGUUAUCCGGAUUUACUGGGUGUAAAGGGGGCGCAGACGGCAAUGCAAGCCAGGAGUGAAAGCCCGGGGCCCAACCCCGGGACUGCAUUUGGAACUGUGUGGCUGUAGUGUCGGAGAGGCG